rnacentral:rRNA from 1 species
AUGAGUCACUCCCACCAGAUCGUCGAACUGGAGCGCGAGCGCGAGCGCGACGACCGUCUCAGCAGUCUCAGCGAUGUCGUGCUUGGCCAUAUCCUCUCCUUCCUCGACGCCGACGAGAUCGGCCGUGCCGCGGCGCUCUCAAGGCGGUGGCGCGACGUCCUGGCCAUCGUCCACACCGUCUCCCUGGACAUGGAUGAGCAGCCGAAACGGCCCAUCAUCUACGACGUGGUCGACGAUGACUUGAUCUAUUCCACCGAGUACAUCAAUCACCCGCCGGCGCCGCUGUCCUCAAUCGUCACCGGCGCCCUCUUUGGCCGCAGCCGCCGCCCGGCCCCCGCGCCCGGCCCGGUGCCCCUGCGUGCGCUCCGCGUUUGCCUGGGAGUGAGAUUGGGAUACAAUCCCGACCAAAAGACCACGGUGGACCAGUGGGUUACUUACGCCCUGAAGCAUGCCGGCCCCGACCUCGAGCUCGACCUCCGCCUCGGCCGAGACCCCAUCUGCAAGCACCCCGACCGGGCCGCCCACGCUAGGCCAUACGAGGUUAAAGCCGUUGGCUGGAAGCCUCCGGAGACAAACGCCGACGACCAUUCACCCCUUGGGACAGACGACGACGAUGGUGACGAUGUUGGCUCCAGUUCUGAAGAAAAUUUUCGUGGAUACGGAGAGUACACCGUCCCAUGGGGGGGUUUCUCCUGCCCCGCGCUGCGAUCGCUCCGCCUUGGCGCUUGCAGGAUCUCCCCGCCGGCGGCCCUCAGCAUGCCAUGGCUCGAGGCGCUCCGCCUCACCCAGGUCCCCGACGAGGAGGAGCACGUGCAAAGGCUCAUCUUCGCCUGCCCCCACCUCGUGGACCUGACUCUCGAGGCUUGCGGAACGGUGACCACGCUCUCGCUCCUCGGCAACACGCGCCUCGGCAGCCUCGCCCUCCGGUGCUGCCAUAAAUUAGCCACCGUUGUCAUCAACAAGCCAGAGCUCCGCUCCUUUGAGUACCGCGGUGCCGUCCCUGGCCACUCCUUCCUCACCAUGGUCGGCGGCUCGCCAUCUAUCAUGUCGUUCAAGGUCGACAUCCGUGCGAUCUGUGUUGGGGAGGCCACCUCAGAAGAGGAGCUCAGCAAGCUCGAUUCCUUCGUACAGCAGUUCGUGUCGACCACGAAACACCUCCACUUAUCAUGUGCCUUCAUGGGCUCAUCCUUCGCGCGGCUCCCGGCAUUCACGAGCCUCCGCCACCUUCAACUGAUCGGACACGUGCCGCGCGACAGCGACGACCCCGCCGCAGCAGCUGCCGCGACAAGCAAAAUCCUUUGGAAAACCCCGAACCUGGAAACAUUGUCCUUGUUAUUCGAAGUAAAGCGUCGCAAUCCCAAUAAGUACGACCCCAAGGAGUACGACCGCGGCGAUCGCAGCGAGGGGCAGCUCCUCGAUGCUCACCUCCUCAACUGCAACAAGUACGACAGCCUCGACGUUCCGGCUUCGAGCGUGACCGUGCCGGCCUGCCUCAGUAGUCGGGUGAGGAAGAUCAACCUGUUGCAUUACCAAGGCGGAAGAGCGCAGAGGAUGCUGGUCAGGUUCUUGGUCCGCAACACUGAAGUUCUUGAGAAGCUUUACUGUGGAUUCGCCGAGGGGCCGUUGUGGAUUCAGAUGGAACUUAAGCGCGAGAUCGAACGAUGGGCGGUGAACGGGAAAACUAGCACGGAGUUCCGUUGA